CCUAGGGGAGGCAGCAGUGGGGAAUAUUGCACAAUGGGCGCAAGCCUGAUGCAGCAACGCCGCGUGAGGGAAGACGGUUUUCGGAUUGUAAACCUCUGUCUUUGGUGACGAAGAAGUGACGGUAGCCAAGGAGGAAGCCACGGCUAACUACGUGCCAGCAGCCGCGGUAAUACGUAGGUGGCAAGCGUUAUCCGGAAUUACUGGGUGUAAAGGGAGCGCAGGCGGGAUAGCAAGUCAGCGGUGAAAUGCAUGGGCUUAACUCAUGAGCUGCCGUUGAAACUGUUAUUCUUGAGUGGAGUAGAGGCAGGCGGAAUUCCGAGUGUAGCGGUGAAAUGCGUAGAUAUUCGGAGGAACACCAGUGGCGAAGGCGGCCUGCUGGGCUCUAACUGACGCUGAGGCUCGAAAGUGUGGGGAGCAAACA
rnacentral:rRNA from 1 species